rnacentral:tRNA from 1 species
GCGGAAUUAGCUCAGCGGUAGAGCAUUGGCUUCCCAAGCCAAGGGUCGCGGGUUCGAAUCCCGUUUUCCGCUCCA